GCCUGGGUGGCUCAGUCGGUUGAGUGUCUGACUUCAGCUCAGGUCAUGAUCUUGCAGUCCGUGAGUUCGAGCCCCGCUUCGGGCU
rnacentral:tRNA from 1 species